rnacentral:ncRNA from 2 species
UAAAUUUGCGGUCGAUUAGGUUUUUGUGUCGCUACCGCGCCACAAAACAAAAGGGAAUCCGGUUAAAAUCCGGAGCCGAAGCGAAGCGUAGUCCCGCGAAGCGGGAUGGAAAAAAGGCAAAACGAACCACUACUUUCUGAUAACUGACAAGCCAGAAGACCUGCCAAUCGCAUCCUAUUGUU